rnacentral:rRNA from 1 species
UACGUAGGGUGCAGGCGUUAAUCGGAAUUACUGGGCGUAAAGCGUGAGCAGGCGGUCUUUUAAGUCAGAUGUGAAAUCCCCGGGCUUAACCUGGGAACUGCGUUUGAAACUGGAAGGCUAGAGUGUGGCAGAGGGGGGUGGAAUUCCACGUGUAGCAGUGAAAUGCGUAGAUAUGUGGAGGAACACCGAUGGCGAAGGCAGCCCCCUGGGCUAACACUGACGCUCAUGCACGAAAGCGUGGGGAGCAAACAGG